CAGGAAUAUUCUUGACUGCUAGAUGAUAACGCGAUAUGCUAGAUAAACACACACUGUGUACAACAACUAUCAGAAGUAGGUCAUUGUGCGUUGUAUUCGAAGCAGACUAUCAUUGAUUUAUCAAGGUAUUCACCAUGCUGUGUCGAUCUUUUCUCGUUGGCGUAUUCAUUUUCACUGUUAUGCAGUUGGCUCUAGGAUAUAGCGACGACGAUGAUCAAGACCACACAACGAUGAACUGGAAAGAGUAUUCUAGACAAGACUGGCACCCGCCGAUGAUGGCAUCCAAUGCAGCGAGUCAUUCUAGUGACGUGAUGUUUGUCUUCGCGUUGCUGGGUGUGGCUUUCGUGGGCCAAUAUAUCUUGCCAGGUCAGCAUGGUUGCUAAAACGAUCGCAGCUUCUCGCCCGUUUCCGUAUAUAAAUAUGCCAAACGUGUUUUAAUUGAUAUUCAUAGUGCAUAUGACCUAGUAUCUAAACAAUUGCACAAGGCGUUACAGGCGAUGUACUUUAAAAUAAUCGAAACUUAUUAGGACAAACACCAUUGCAUAUAUAGCUACACGGAUCGAAACAUCAAAUUAUGUGAUUCAGUUCGUUCCAAUCAUAUCAAGGUUGAGCCAAUUCAGGGAAAUGAAAGCUAGGCCAAUGACCGAACAUAUGGACCAGAUGGAAAAAUGGAAUAGUGCUUACAGAAGGAACGUAACAGGUGGAACACGUCGCUCAGGAAAACAUCUGAAUGGAUUGAUGUCUAUAUUGUUAAUAUCAUUCAAUUAUACAACGAAAACUACAUGGACAAGCCGAAGUUAAUUCAUCUUUAGCAUGAUUUGGAAGAUUACGUGUGUCUUGAAGUAAACGCACUUUACUGUCUCACUCGGAAAGUGGUUGAUGCUUUUAACAUUAUCAUUUUGUAAACAGCUAUUUUGUCGUUCGAUAAUCGACAUAAUUGAAAUUAACUUGUUUGAAUUUUAUCAAGUGUACUCACUUGUUUAACAAAGAGCGAUUGCAUCGAUUUUAAAUGUCUGCAGAGGAAAUAGUUAUAAUAACAAUAAAGCUGUUCACUGUA